UACAUCUAUGUAUGAUGAAGCGAAUAAAAGAAGAAUCUAUCGACAGACGUUUUCCACCAUUUCCUGAGGAAACGCACGGUCGCAUCUAUUAAUCACUAUGUUGUAAUGAAGAUAAAACUUCAACAAAAGUUUCCGUACAUCAUUAAAACGUUGGCUAUCAGUGAUACGUAAUGGAUUCGAAUAAUCGUGGAGCAGUGACCAAUCGCGAAGGUGAACUACGAAAGUUCAGUGACCAUAAAAGAUGUUAGUGCCAAUCCAACGAGGAAGCAAAGUGUACGACGUUCUGUAGCUAUCGGAUUGCUCGUGCACGAAAAUAGUCGGUGAAAUAUCGGUCUGAAAUGACGAUCAUGCCAAGGCGCUAGAUCGAUACCACUUUGAGAUACCGUCUGCCAAUGCUUGCUAAGUCCAUAAGAUACUUUGGCCCAUCUUUCUUCAGACCUAAGGAUAUGCCUUUUCUAGGACGUAUUCCAUCUCAAGAGAAGUAUAAAGGAGAAAUAUAGUCGCCUCUCUACAAUGACCAACCGAACGGUUUAAAGACGCGCUAAGCAGACAUCGCGACGUCGUUCUCUCCUUCUACCGAGGACGAAUCUAUUCUACGGAGGUCGUCCGUCUUUCCGAAAUACCGAGCCUCCACUCUUGGAUAUUUUCGUCGAAUGAUUACG